CCUACGGGGGGGGCUGCAGUAGGGAAUCUUCCGCAAUGGACGAAAGUCUGACGGAGCAACGCCGCGUGAACGAAGAAGGCCUUCGGGUCGUAAAGUUCUGUUGUUAGGGAAGAACAAGUACCAGAGUAACUGCUGGUACCUUGACGGUACCUAACCAGAAAGCCACGGCUAACUACGUGCCAGCAGCCGCGGUAAUACGUAGGUGGCAAGCGUUGUCCGGAAUUAUUGGGCGUAAAGCGCGCGCAGGUGGUUCCUUAAGUCUGAUGUGAAAGCCCACGGCUCAACCGUGGAGGGUCAUUGGAAACUGGGGAACUUGAGUGCAGAAGAGGAAAGUGGAAUUCCAAGUGUAGCGGUGAAAUGCGUAGAGAUUUGGAGGAACACCAGUGGCGAAGGCGACUUUCUGGUCUGUAACUGACACUGAGGCGCGAAAGCGUGGGGAGCAAACAGGAUUAGAUACCCCUAGUAGUCA
rnacentral:rRNA from 1 species